UACGAAGGGGGCUAGCGUUGCUCGGAAUCACUGGGCGUAAAGCGCACGUAGGCGGACUCUUAAGUCGGUGGUGAAAUCCUGGAGCUCAACUCCAGAACUGCCUUCGAUACUGAGAGUCUCGAGUCCGAGAGAGGUGAGUGGAACUGCGAGUGUAGAGGUGAAAUUCGAUAGAUAUUCGCAAGAACACCCGGUGGCGAAGGCGGCUCUCUGGGACGGUACUGACGCGUGAGACGCGAAAGCGUGGGGAGCGAACAGG
rnacentral:rRNA from 1 species